CGCGUAGGCGGCUCGGUAAGUCUGGAGUGAAAGUCCUGCUUUUAAGGUGGGAAUUGCUUUGGAUACUGUCGGGCUUGAGUGCAGGAGAGGUUAGUGGAAUUCCCAGUGUAGCGGUGAAAUGCGUAGAUAUACGGAGGAACACCAGUGGCGAAGGCGGAUUGCUGGACAGUAACUGACGCUGAGGCGCGAAAGCGUGGGGAGCAAACA
rnacentral:rRNA from 1 species